AACGCGAAGAACCUUACCUGGGCUCGAAAUGUAGUGGAAUCGGGUGGAAACAUCCGCGUCUCGCAAGAGACUGCUAUAUAGGUGCUGCAUGGCUGUCGUCAGCUCGUGUCGUGAGAUGUUGGGUUAAGUCCCGCAACGAGCGCAACCCUUAUCCCUAGUUGCCAUCGGGUCAAGCCGGGCACUCUAGUGAAACCGCCUGGGAUAACCAGGAGGAAGGUGGGGAUGACGUCAAGUCCUCAUGGCCUUUAUGUCCAGGGCUACACACGUGCUACAAUGGUCGGUACAAACCGUCGCAAACUCGCGAGAGGGAGCUAAUCGGAAAAAGCCGGCCUCAGUUCGGAUUGGAGUCUGCAACCCGACUCCAUGAAGCUGGAAUCGCUAGUAAUCGCGGAUCAGAACGCCGCGGUGAAUACGUUCCCGGGCCUUGUA
rnacentral:rRNA from 1 species